rnacentral:rRNA from 1 species
UACGGGGGGGGCAAGCGUUGUUCGGAAUUACUGGGCGUAAAGGGCUCGUAGGUGGCCAACUAAGUCGGAAGUGAAAUCCCUCGGCUUAACCGGGGAACUGCGUCCGAUACUGGUUGGCUUGAGUUUGGGAGAGGGAUGCGGAAUUCCAGGUGUAGCGGUGAAAUGCGUAGAUAUCUGGAGGAACACCGGUGGCGAAGGCGGCAUCCUGGACCAAUACUGACGCUGAGGAGCGAAAGCCAGGGGAGCAAACGGG